AGACUGAACGCUGGCGGCAUGCCUAACACAUGCAAGUCGAACGGCAGCGCGGGGAGCAAUCCCUGGCGGCGAGUGGCGGACGGGUGAGGAAUACAUCGGAAUCUACCCUGUCGUGGGGGAUAACCAAGCGAAAGCUUGGCUAAUACCGCAUACGACCGUGAGGUGAAAGCGGAGGACCUUCGGGCUUCGCGCGAUUGGAUGAGCCGAUGUCGGAUUAGCUAGUUGGCGGGGUAAGAGCCCACCAAGGCGACGAUCCGUAGCUGGUCUGAGAGGAUGAUCAGCCACACUGGGACUGAGACACGGCCCAGACUCCUACGGGAGGCAGCAGUGGGGAAUAUUGGACAAUGGGCGCAAGCCUGAUCCAGCAAUGCCGCGUGUGUGAAGAAGGCCUGGUUGUAAGACACUUUAUACGGAGACGAAAGACGACGAAGUUAACUACCCUCGCG
rnacentral:rRNA from 1 species